ensembl:lncRNA
CAGAAGGAGGAGAAGCGAGGGGAAAAGUUGCCACACACACACCCCCGGGGAGGGCGAGGGAGGGAGAAAAGGGGGGAGGGAGAAGGAGCUAGGGGGCCACAACCACCACAACUCUGGGAGAGAAGAGAAGAGAAAGGGACAGAAGGGGGGAAAGGAGGUGAGGGUGAGAGAGCGAGCGAGCGCAAAAGGGGCGAGCGAGAGAGGCGCUCUGGAGAGAAACGCACAAAAGUGUCCCGCAAGUCGAAAUAGUGAAGCUGCAAAGCUGAGAAGACUUGAAUGGCCUUAUAUCUUCAAAGAAGUGCCUUGAGCUCUGGAAUGCCACAGAGUGGGAGAAACCACCGAACACCAGGAAAUGUCAACAAUGUGACAGGAACGCCUGGGCAGGCCUCCACUUUUAUAGGAGAAUUGUUAGCUUUUAUGCAAAAAGAAGAAGCAACAAGUAUAUCUUCUCAAGGGGCUCCCCUGGUGGCUCAGAUGGUAAAGAGUCUGCCUGUCAUGUGGGAGAUCCAGGUCGUAUCCCUGGAUUAGGAAGAUCCCCUGGAGAAGGGAUUGGCAACCCACUCCAGUAUUCUUGACUGGAGAAUUCCAUGGACAGAGGAGUCUGGUGGGCUACAGUCCAUGGAGUCAUGAAGAAUCAGACACAACUGAACGACUAAUGAUUUCAUUAUCUUCUCAAAGAGCGUUCAUGACCUGGUCAUCUGCUUGCAUUAAAGCAAACUAGAUCUCUGUUCUCUGCUUCAAUUUCUUCCAAAUAUCCUGUAUAUUGGUAAUGCUGGAGGACACAAGCAUGAAGAAAAUUUAUAAUCUUGAUCACUUUCCCCAAAUGUAACGUAAUGAACCUCACUUGCAGAGUUCACAGCAUCGAUUCUCCUGAUGCAUAGAAACAGAGCUCACUUUCUCUUUUUAAUUUAAAUAAACUAUUGAGAUCUCCUAUUGUAUUUCUUUUA